rnacentral:lncRNA from 1 species
AUGACUAAAGGUACAUUCUAUUCUAUUCUAUUCUAUUCUAUUCUACAGGCUGCACAGGGUCAGAGCAGAUGUUUUUGGAGCAGGAAGCACCUGAAGGACAACGCUAAAGACAGUCAAACUUCUGAGGAGAUGGAGAGAGACGAGGAACUGGAAAGAUUGUUUCAGAGGUUAGCUGUAUUUACACCCUGCAGAGCAGACAGACUGAGGAGCUGUGAUGAAAGGGAAAGAUUGACAAAGCUGGCAAUGAGAAGCUGCACAGAUGAAGUCACCCUGCAGUGGCUGAGAAAAAACUCUGAUGCCUUCACAGACAUGUUUGACUUUCUGAAGAAACACAUUGAUGAAGAGGAGAAGAAGAACCACAGUGAUAAUGUUCACAUCAGCUUCGUGGCUCAUGGAGCAAUCAAAGACUUCAUGAUCGCAGCCAGCUGUUACCUGCCUCUGCCCACCAUCACUGACGUGCUCCUGUAUUCUCCCUGGAACUGCAUCACUUCUGGUUUAGUGUACGGUGUCGCUACAGGAAAACUGAGGCCUCAGCACAGAGUUUUUUACUGUAGGAAAGAAAAAGGCUGUAUUAUUCCUGAUGACAAACAUCGACCUGUGAACCUGCCAGACCACUGGAACUCACUGAAGAAAGCUGGAGCACAGAAGGUCCCAAACAUCACGGUUAGCCCUCUUCGAGAUAAUGAUGGAGUGUGGGAACACUUUGAGUCUCUCUCAGCUAAACACGGCCCACCAGGAAGGAACCGCAUCGUCAUCCCGUACAACCUCCCAGGACGGGAAUAUGAAAGCAUCCCGUUCUCUGUGGUGACCUUGGCUCUGUCCCUGGUGCUCCUCUCCUCCAGGUUUAAAGGGACUCUUCACUUCUCUGGUUGUCUCGGUGAUCACUCUACUGGACAGAGAUUUGACAGGAAGUAUCUUCAGGAGCAGUACGCCUGCACCAUCGACAACAGCAUGAUGACACAUUCACCUGAAGCUUUCAGGGAGACAGAUGAUGAUAAAUGCCGCUUGUGUUAG